rnacentral:rRNA from 1 species
UACGUAGGGGGCAAGCGUUAUCCGGAUUUACUGGGUGUAAAGGGAGCGUAGCCGGGCUGACAAGUCAGAUGUGAAAUCCGGGGGCUCAACCCCCGAACUGCAUUUGAAACUGUUGGUCUUGAGUAUCGGAGAGGCAGGCGGAAUUCCUAGUGUAGCGGUGAAAUGCGUAGAUAUUAGGAGGAACACCAGUGGCGAAGGCGGCUUACUGGACGGCAACUGACGCUGAGGCUCGAAAGCGUGGGGAGCAAACAGG